UCCGCCAAACCAACGAAGAAGAAGAUAGCGCCACUUCUUUUCCAGACUGACUCAGCUCAGCAAGGGAGCCCAGCAGCACCCUGCACUGAACCAACAACCUUCUAUUUCAAUGGUGGUGAUCCAAAUCAUUGUGGAGCAGAAUGCACCAUAGAGAUGUACAACUCUCCUGUUGAACACCUCAAGACUGAAGGGUAGUUAGUCAGGCACAAGACUGAACUCUAUGGAUUGAACAUCUUUGGAGAGAUCUGAAAACAGCUGUGGACCAGUACUCCCCAUCCAACCUGAUGGAGCUUGAGAGGUUCUACAAACAAGCUAAGCUUGUAGCAUCACAUUCAAGACUUGAGACUGUAAUUGCAGCCAAAUGUAGCAAAUGUAUGUAACAAAGUACUGAGCAAAGGCUGUGAAUAUUUAUAAACAUGUAAUAUCAUGUUUGUUUGUUUUAUUUUUAAUAAAUUUGAAUUUCAAGUGA